UACGUAGGGGGCAAGCGUUGUCCGGAAUCAUUGGGCGUAAAGCGCGUGUAGGCGGUCCGGUAAGUCCGCUGUGAAAGUCGGGGGCUCAACCCUCGGAUGCCGGUGGAUACUGUCGGGCUUGAGUACGGAAGAGGCGAGUGGAAUUCCUGGUGUAGCGGUGAAAUGCGCAGAUAUCAUGAGGAACACCAAUUGCGAAGGCAGCUCGCUGGGACGUUACUGACGCUGAGACGCGAAAGCGUGGGGGGCAAACAGG
rnacentral:rRNA from 1 species